GGUUUGUUGUUGUUUAGGGCUGGGUUUUGCCCAAUUUUGGACCCAUGGUUCUGCCAUUGAGAAAUUUUUGGGCUUCUGCUAUUGUUUUUUUUUUCUUUCUAGAAUGGAAGUUCUUUACUAUUAAGAAAAAAAAAACAAAUAGAACAUCUGGAUGGAUUGACAAGAAAAUACUUAUUAUUUUUUAAAAUGAUAUUGUUGUGAUAAUGGCAGCACUAAAGUUUAGUUUGAGUCAGUCCUCCAAAAUUGACAUCCAGGCCUGAGUUUGAUUUUAUAUAAGACUUGAGGCAUUUACGUGCAGGUCAAGGUGGGUUCCAACACAUGGACCAGCUGGGCCUAUCCCACCCUACAACCUUCCAUUCUUUUUCUUUGCUUCCAAACAGCCGCCUAUGGCUCUUGCCUUCAUUUAUAUAAUGGCACUCAAUUUUCAUUGCUAAUAUAUAUUGUAAAUAGUCAACGGCCGACCACUCUCAUCACUCAUCGGUAUUGAAGAAAUUGGGUCAUGG
rnacentral:lncRNA from 1 species